rnacentral:rRNA from 1 species
UGGGGAAUAUUGCACAAUGGGCGAAAGCCUGAUGCAGCAACGCCGCGUGAGUGAUGAAGGCCUUCGGGUUGUAAAGCUCUGUCUUCUGGGACGAUAAUGACGGUACCAGAGGAGGAAGCCACGGCUAACUACGUGCCAGCAGCCGCGGUAAUACGUAGGUGGCAAGCGUUGUCCGGAUUUACUGGGCGAAAAGGAUGCGUAGGCGGAUACUUAAGUCAGAUGUGAAAAUCCCGGGCUUAACUUGGGAACUGCAUUCGAAACUGGGUAUCUAGAGUGCGGGAGAGGAAAGUGGAAUUCCUGGUGUAGCGGUGAAAUGCGUAGAGAUUAGGAAGAACACCAGUGGCGAAGGCGACUUUCUGGACCGUAACUGACGCUGAGGCAUGAAAGCGUGGGGAGCAAACA